rnacentral:rRNA from 1 species
ACUUUGCCGCAAGCCCUAACCAUGCCAGUCGAGCGGCAGCACGGGUACUUGUACCUGGUGGCGAGCGGCGCACGGUUGAGUAAUGCCUAGGAAUCUGCCUGGUAGUGGGGGAUAACGCUCGGAAACGGACGCUAAUACCGCAUACGUCCUACGGGAGAAAGCAGGGGACCUUCGGGCCUUGCGCUAUCAGAUGAGCCUAGGUCGGAUUAGCUAGUUGGUGAGGUAAUGGCUCACCAAGGCGACGAUCCGUAACUGGUCUGAGAGGAUGAUCAGUCACACUGGAACUGAGACACCGUCCACACUCCUACGGGAGGCACCACUGGGGAAUAUUGCACAAUGGGCGAAAGCCUGAUCCACCCCUGCCCCGUGUGUGAAGAAGGUCUUCGGCUUGUAAAGCACUUCACCUUGCGAGGAAGGGCACUUACCUAAUCCCUACUU